rnacentral:rRNA from 1 species
GAUGAACGCUGGCGGCGUGCCUAAUACAUGCAAGUAGAACGCUGAAGGAGGAGCUUGCUCUUCUGGAUGAGUUGCGAACGGGUGAGUAACGCGUAGGUAACCUGCCUGGUAGCGGGGGAUAACUAUUGGAAACGAUAGCUAAUACCGCAUGACAACAGUUAUUGCAUGAUAACUGUUUAAAAGGGGCAACUGCUCCACUACCAGAUGGACCUGCGUUGUAUUAGCUAGUUGGUGAGGUAACGGCUCACCAAGGCGACGAUACAUAGCCGACCUGAGAGGGUGAUCGGCCACACUGGGACUGAGACACGGCCCAGACUCCUACGGGAGGAAGCAGUAGGGAAUCUUCGGCAAUGGACGGAAGUCUGACCGAGCAACGCCGCGUGAGUGAAGAAGGUUUUCGGAUCGUAAAGCUCUGUUGUAAGAGAAGAACGAGUGUGAGAGUGGAAAGUUCACACUGUGACGGUAUCUUACCAGAAAGGGACGGCUAACUACGUG